AUCAGUUUCAAUGAAUAUAUUAAAUCAUGAAGUGAAACAAAAGUGAAAUGAAGCAAUUCAGUUUGGAUUCAGUCUCUGAAUGCUUACUAUAUAGCAGCCACUCUGUAUAAGGCAAGAUGUGGUUGUGAAAAUCAGGUUGGUUCAGGAGAGAAUAGACAAAACCGCAAAUAGCACAAUAAUGCUGGCAUCGGAGGCAUCAUGCUCUCUUUGAAUAAGGACGCACUGCCCAAGUCUGACAGAUGAUGGCGCCUCAAGCACAAGAGGGGACUAACAGUACCUGACUGGAUGAAUGACAGACAGGCGUGUGAUUGAUCCUUCUGGGAACCGUGUCACCUGCUAGCUCUCCCUGUUUAUGAAGGUCUGGAGACACCUGCUUAAUGUGGAUGUGGUGGUAAUGGCCAAUGAUAGAUACUUGGUGUCUGUAUCUACUCUUUGUAACUCAUGGAUUGUAUCGGAACAAAACCCAAUCUGCUUUUUCCUCCAGUUUGGAAUUUUAAAAGGAACCAUUCUACUCCUUCACCACUAGAGGGCAUAUCACAGCUAUUCUACAGUGAAGUACGCCGAGCACUCAAAUUGGCCUGAGCUGUUGUUGAGUGAAAGAACCAUUUUCCCUUCUACACACUUUUUCUCAGACAUUGUUUGCCAUCCUGCUGAAAGUUUUUACAUGCAGGAUUGAAAGGCGUGUGUGUGUUCUCUCAAGGGCCAAGCCAUGAAAAUGACCCUGAUCGUCUUGCACCAUUUCUGCCAUAAACUGCAGCUGUCCGCUCAGUGUUAAAACAUUUCUGCAUGGCUGUCUGGCUGAACGAAUGGCUGACUGGCUGGCUGAAAAUAGGAAGAAUAACUAUUUAAUUCUGGGAUUUUCCCUGGAGACGGUUUGUUUAUUUUCUUGCACUCUCAUAUAUUUUUUGUUACAGUGAUUUAGAGGACAUUUAAUACAACACUGUUCUCAUGGCAGUCUUCUUGAAUUUUUUUAUCCUAAUUGAUUGAAAUAUUGCAUUUUUAUGUUUGUAAUAUGCAGCAUUUGUAGAAUAAUUACUUACAGAAAAUGUCCCAAAUCAUGUUUUAUUCCACAUUACAGAGUGCAUGCACUGUUCACUCAGUUGUAAAUUCAAAUAAAGUCCAGGCCAGUUUCCCACAACCCUUCAGUCACCCAGAGAGGAGCCAGCAACACAAUGCUCCUCAAAUGCUCUUAAAAUACAUGACCUCAUUGACCUCUUUGAAUUAUAACCGCUAGGAUUGGCCCUGGCUGUAGCACAAUAUGAGACUUGUGAUUGUGUUUUAAUUCUAAUGGCAAGCGAAAAGAUGGCUUCCUCCAAAAGAGAGAGGGGAGCUGAGAUGGGUGGAUUUAUGGGCCUUGUCCUGGCCGCCGGCCUCACAUCCUCUCUGAUCUGCUUUUACUCUGACGACCCCUGACCUCCAGAGUCAUUAGAAUGCUCUCUGAAUGGUCCCAUUGGCCCUCAGCCCAUCUCACACUCACUCACUGCUUGUUUUUCGAAUCAAAUUACUAUAUUUAACAGGGACACUAGCCGCUGAGCCGCCUGGCCGGGCCAACUCCAUCUAAACACACAUCUGUUUGAAAUUGUGACUGGCAAUUAUUUUAUGUCAUGUGCAAGUUUAUUUUUGUCCCCCCCACUCACUUUUGUUUGUUGUUGUUUGUUUUUCAGUAAAUGUCUCUUUCUCUGCAUUGCUAAUGGCCAAAACCCAGUAGGGAUUCUGGGUCCUGGAACUGUGCUGUCACAAAGGUUAGUGGCAGGGCCGGACUACUGCAUUUGGGGCACCAGGGCACCGACCUCCCAACCACCCUCAGCUAACUUACUGCAUUUCAAGAGAAAAUGUUUUAAUUCAAUGCUUUUUUUCUAUGUGGCAAAUAUUUUUUGGUUUGUUUUAUAGGUCAUCUCAUGCUUCUGUUCCCAUUUUUCCAUGAGGCUGAGAUAAAUGUUUUCAGUUUUAAAGAAAAUGUACUGCUAUUCUACACAUUUCCCUGCGUGCCUGUUCGGUAAUCCGGCCCUGGCUAGUGGUGUGGCCGGAAAGAGGAAAAUGGAAAACCACAGUAAGGUUUUUAAUUCUGAAAUACAAAGCAGGCAGAUUUUUUAUUCUAUUCAGAGUGAGAGAGCAGGAUUUUCAGACUGUCACUAAGUCAGAGAGAGCUCUGUCUGUAUCGCUGCCAGAUCAUAAUUUUGUCUUCAUUUUGUCUGUCUGUUAUCCAUGGAUUUUAUAACGUGGUCUGGUGGGAGAGGAGAUGUAUAGACUACACUGAUAUGAAAUUAAAUGUUUUAUUGGUUUAGUCCACGUAUGUGAUUUACUAGCCUGACGACUCACACAAAAUUAUUUGCUACAUACUUUAGUCCAAGACUGCCAUCAUUGAAGUCCUUUGUGGUGACGAUGGGCGACUGAAUCAUCUCUAACCAGAGUAUCAAAACCAAUGACGCGUUUUUAAUCCGCCGCUUUACCCAUGUGUGAUCUGGCUCUGGCCCACAACCCAUUGGUGUCUGCACCAAUCAGACAGCCCAGAAUGUGUUCUCAUUCAGUGAAGGGUCAGGGAGGUGCUAAGAUCCAAACUCAUUGCAGACAAGAAACUAAUGUCCGUAGGCUUGCCGUAGCAUUUGGCCAGUGCAAGGAGCCUGGGUAGCCAGGCAAGUGAUUUACUAGGAUAAGGAGAGGCUGUAUUCUUCUUGUAUCUCAUAUUUAUUGACUGUUGGCUGAUACCAACUACAGAUAGUAUUAAGCAAUAAGUGUUAACAUGUGAGCAUGUGUAUGUGUGCUGCGCACAUGCUCACUCUGUGACAGAACAUCCCUCACAUUCUUUCUGCCCCACAGUUGGAUCACAUUUAAAGGACAAUCACUCCAGUUAUGUCCUAACCUCAUUUAUUCUUCUUCCAGCUGGCUUUACACCAGAAACCCCUUUGUCCUCCGAGACCUUGUUCUAACAGUGUACUUAAGGGACAGCCCAGGCCAGGCCAAUGUUCUCACAAUAUCCUCUGGUUAUCCAGUGAUAAAGAUGUCUUCCACAGAUGUCUUUAGUCAAUGGUUGAUAGGGCCGAAGAGAGUGGUGGAAGAGGCCAAUAUUCCUGGAUCUGGGGAUCACAUUCCCUCUGCAACAACUGGCCCCAUAAUUGCCACAGAAUAUAAUGGGCGUCUUCAUGACCAUUAAACUGGCCUAUGAUUAGUGGCUAAAACCCAUAGCAAUCAUGGUGGAUUUUUUCAAGAAUGAUUGGUUUGUCAAAAAUAUUUCACUUUAUUUGUUUGACAACAUACAGUGCACUCAGAAAGUAUUCAAACCCCUUGCCUUUUUACACAUUUUUGUUACGUUACAGCCUUAAUCUAGAAUUGAUUACAUAUUAGUUUCAUAUUAGAAAUGUUUGCACAUUUAUUACAAAUAAAAAACAGAAAUACCUUAUUUAUGUAAGUAUUCAAACCCUUUGCUAUGAUACUCAAAAUUGAGCUCAGGUGCAUCCUGUUUCCAGUGAUCAUCCUUGAGAUGUUUUUACAACUUAAUUUGAGUCAACCUGUGGUAAAUUAAAUUGAUUGGACAUGAUUUGGAAAGGCACACACCUAUCUAUAUAAGGUCCCACAGUUGACAGUGCAUUUCAGAGCAAAAACCAAGCCAUGAGAUCGAAGGAAUUGUCAGAGAGCUCCGAGACAGGAUUGUGUCAAGGCACAGAUCUGGGCAAACCUAGCAAUCGGGGGAGAAGGGCCUUGGUCAGGGAGGUGACCAAGAACCCAAUGGUCACUCUGACAAAGCUCCAGAGUUCCUGAUGGGAGAACCUUCCAGAAGGACAACCAUCUCUGCAGCACUCCACCAAUGAGGCCUUUAUGGUAGAGUGGCAGGACGGAGGCCACUCCUCAGUAUUAGGUACAUGACAGCCCGCUUGGAGUUUGCCAAAAGGCAUCUAAAGGACUCAGACCAUGAGAAACAAGAUUCUCUGGUCUGAUGAAACCAAGAUUGAACUCUUUGGCCUGAAUGCCAAGCGUCACAUCUGGCGGAAACCUGGCACCAUCCCUACGCUGAAGUAUGGUGGUGGCAGCAUAAUUCUGUGGAGAUGUUUUUCAGCAGCAGGGACUGGGAGUAGUCAGGAUCGAGGGAAAGAUGAACGGAGUAGGGUACAGAGAGAUUCUUGAUGAAAACCUGCUCCAGAGUGCUCAGGACCUCAGACUGGGGCGAAGUUUCACCUUCCAACAGGACAACAGCCCUAAUCACACAGGAAGGACAACAUAGGAUUAGUUUUGGGACAAGUCUCAAUGUCCUUGAGUGGCCCAGCCAGAGCCCGGACUUGAACCCAAUUGAAAAUCUCUGGAGAGACCUGAAAAUACACUCCCCAUCCAGCUAUGCUCCCGAUCCAACCUGACAGAGCUUGUGAGGAUCUGCAGAGAAGAAUGGGAUAAACUCCCCAAAUAAAGGUGUGCCAAGCUUGUAGCAUCAUAUCCAAGACGUGAGUCUGUAAUCGCUGCCAAAGGUGCUUCUGAAUACUUAUGUAAAUGUGAUAUUUCAAUUUCUAAAAACAUGUUUUUGCUUUGUCAUUGUGGGAUUUUGUGUUUAGAUUGAUGAGGUGGAAAAAACAAUUUAAUCAAUUUUAGAAUACGGCUGUAUAACAAACAAACAAAAUGUGGAAAAAGUCAAGGGGUCUGAAUACUUAUCGAAUGCACUGUACUUAUGCUUGUGGUUUGCUUAUAAGAUUCCUGGAUAAAAUAGUCAAUCAUUGUUUGCAAAUGAUAAUAUUCAUAUGUUUAUGAUAAAUGUGUUGUUUAACAUGAGAGUCAGGUUUAACUGUGAGGACUAAAUUCACUAACAAGGAUGUCCAGGGGAAUGCACAGUACCACAGUGAUAGCCACCAGAGUCUCUAGCUAGUGAUAAUGCCAGUCCAGUCCAACUGUUUUGGCCCUGCACCCCCACCCAUGUUGAUGUGACGUGUGAGAAUCCUUUCCCACCUAAAAUGGAAGGUUUUGACAUGUUGCUAGUGCUAAAAGCCCAGAUAUUGGUGUGGGGUUUAGCACUAUGCUUAAAUUACACUAGUAAGUGUCUCUCUCCAUCCCUAUGGGCAGAAUGACUGAGGGUAUUGUACAUGUUCUGGGGGGCUAGUAGCAAGUAGCACAGGUCGACAUAAGAAUCAACACUUAAAGUGUAACUUGAAUUGCCUUUCUACUGCUGAUUUUAUGAAUUUAUUGAUUUGUUUUUUUCAGUGCUAUUUCAGUGUCUUGGGCAUCUAGAUGAAAUAAUGAUCAGUGUCAUUACUGUGUAUUAAUCAGAGCUUGUUUUAUGUUGUCUUAAUAAACUCCCAAGUGCAACAGAGUCACUUAGGCAGAUGGAGGGAUAUUGAACAACAGAUGCUGAUUUGCAAAGGGCCAUAUCAUGAAUAAUUACAGGUGGAUUAUACAGUGACAUCCGACUGGGAAUACACUGGUUGAAUCAAUGUUGUUUCCACGUCAUUUAAAUGAAAUGACGUUGAACCAAUGUGGAAUCGACAUGUAAUUAACGUCUGUGCCCAGUGGGAUCUACGGUUCGAGUGCCACGGUGGUAGACCUCUUUAGCUUUGUUAGCAUGUC